UCUCCAGUAGCUCAGUGGUUAGAGCAUCCGACUACAUCACGGAUGGUCGUGGGUUCAAGUCCCAUCUGGGGCU
rnacentral:tRNA from 1 species